rnacentral:rRNA from 1 species
UUGACCUCAAUCAGGUGGGACUACCCGCUGAACUUAAGCAUAUCA